rnacentral:rRNA from 1 species
GAUGAACGCUGGCGGCGUGCCUAAUACAUGCAAGUCGAGCGAACAGACGAGGCGCUUGCUUGCCAGACGUUAGCGGCGGACGUGUGAAUGACAGGUGGAUAACUUGCCUAUAAGACUGGGAUCAGGGCGGGACACCGGAGAUCAUAACCGAAUAUAGAUUGAAACUAAUUGUUCAAUGAUGAUAAACGGAUUUGCUGACUCGUAUAACUGCAAGCUGGUCGCAUUAGCUAGUUGGUAAGGUAACGGCUUACCGAGGCAACAAGGCGAAGCAGACCUGAGAGGGUGACCGGCCAAACGGGAACUGGGAACCGGUCAAGACUCCACCGGGAGGCAGAGGUGGGGAAUCUUGGGCAAUGGGGGAAAGCCUGACGGAGCAACGCCGCGUGAGUGAUGAAGGUUUUCGGAUCGUAAAACCCUGUUAUUGGGGAGGAAGGAAUGUAGAGUGAACUGUGCACGUCUUGACGGUACCUAAUCAGAAAGCCACGGCUAACUACGUG